GAUGAACGCUGGCGGCGUGCCUAAUACAUGCAAGUCGAGCGAACGGACGAGAAGCUUGCUUCUCUGAUGUUAGCGGCGGACGGGUGAGUAACACGUGGAUAACCUACCUAUAAGACUGGGAUAACUUCGGGAAACCGGAGCUAAUACCGGAUGAUAUUUUGAACCGCAUGGUUCAAAAGUGAAAGACGGUCUUGCUGUCACUUAUAGAUGGAUCCGCGCUGCAUUAGCUAGUUGGUAAGGUAACGGCUUACCAAGGCAACGAUGCAUAGCCGACCUGAGAGGGUGAUCGGCCACACUGGAACUGAGACACGGUCCAGACUCCUACGGGAGGCAGCAGUAGGGAAUCUUCCGCAAUGGGCGAAAGCCUGACGGAGCAACGCCGCGUGAGUGAUGAAGGUCUUCGGAUCGUAAAGCUCUGUUAUUAGGGAAGAACAUAUGUGUAAGUAACUGUGCACAUCUUGACGGUACCUAAUCAGAAAGCCACGGCUAACUACGUGCCAGCAGCCGCGGUAAUACGUAGGUGGCAAGCGUUAUCCGGAAUUAUUGGGCGUAAAGCGCGCGUAGGCGGUUUUUUAAGUCUGAUGUGAAAGCCCACGGCUCAACCGUGGAGGGUCAUUGGAAACUGGAAAACUUGAGUGCAGAAGAGGAAAGUGGAAUUCCAUGUGUAGCGGUGAAAUGCGCAGAGAUAUGGAGGAACACCAGUGGCGAAGGCGACUUUCUGGUCUGUAACUGACGCUGAUGUGCGAAAGCGUGGGGAUCAAACAGGAUUAGAUACCCUGGUAGUCCACGCCGUAAACGAUGAGUGCUAAGUGUUAGGGGGUUUCCGCCCCUUAGUGCUGCAGCUAACGCAUUAAGCACUCCGCCUGGGGAGUACGACCGCAAGGUUGAAACUCAAAGGAAUUGACGGGGACCCGCACAAGCGGUGGAGCAUGUGGUUUAAUUCGAAGCAACGCGAAGAACCUUACCAAAUCUUGACAUCCUUUGACAACUCUAGAGAUAGAGCCUUCCCCCUCGGGGGACAAAGUGACAGGUGGUGCAUGGUUGUCGUCAGCUCGUGUCGUGAGAUGUUGGGUUAAGUCCCGCAACGAGCGCAACCCUUAAGCUUAGUUGCCAUCAUUAAGUUGGGCACUCUAAGUUGACUGCCGGUGACAAACCGGAGGAAGGUGGGGAUGACGUCAAAUCAUCAUGCCCCUUAUGAUUUGGGCUACACACGUGCUACAAUGGACAAUACAAAGGGCAGCGAAACCGCGAGGUCAAGCAAAUCCCAUAAAGUUGUUCUCAGUUCGGAUUGUAGUCUGCAACUCGACUACAUGAAGCUGGAAUCGCUAGUAAUCGUAGAUCAGCAUGCUACGGUGAAUACGUUCCCGGGUCU
rnacentral:rRNA from 1 species